rnacentral:tRNA from 1 species
CCAUAGCUCAACUGGAUAGAGCAUCAGACUUCGGAUCUGAGGGUUGAGGGUUCGAAUCCUUCUGGGC